UACGUAGGGCGCAAGCGUUAUCCGGAAUUAUUGGGCGUAAAGAGCUCGUAGGCGGUUUGUCGCGUCUGCCGUGAAAGUCCGGGGCUCAACUCCGGAUCUGCGGUGGGUACGGGCAGACUAGAGUGAUGUAGGGGAGACUGGAAUUCCUGGUGUAGCGGUGAAAUGCGCAGAUAUCAGGAGGAACACCGAUGGCGAAGGCGGGUCUCUGGGCAGUAACUGACGUGAGGAGCGAAAGCGUGGGGAGCGAACAGG
rnacentral:rRNA from 1 species